rnacentral:tRNA from 1 species
GCCGGAGUCGCCUAGUGGUAGGGCGCGGGCCUGGAGAGCCCGUGGGCCGUAGGGCCUGCGUGGGUUCGAAUCCCACCUCCGGCGCCA